GAAAUGCGAUAAGUAAUGUGAAUUGCAGAAUUCAGUGAAUCAUCGAAUCUUUGAACGCACAUUGCGCCCCGUGGUAUUCCGCGGGGCAUGCCUGUUCGAGCGUCAUUAUGACCAAUCCCGCUCGCGGGGUCUUGGGCACCGCCUCCGGGCGGGCCUCAAAACCAGUGGCGGUCCGGCCGGGCUCUGAGCGUAGUAAAUCUUCUCGCUACAGGGUCCCGGGCAGCACCAGCCAGCAACCCCCAAUCUUUCACAGGUUGACCUCGGAUCAGGUAGGGAUACCCGCUGAACUUAA
rnacentral:misc_RNA from 1 species